GUUUCAGCUGAGCUUCUUGUGAGGCAAGGAAGUGUGUUACAGGUCCCACAGCUGUGUAGGAGACAAGAGUCUGUUACGCUCGCAAGGCAGGUCUUAAUUACUAACUGCAAAUUGUUGUUUGGUGUUAAAGUGCUGGGAGAAGAUAAAUGAAAGCAGAGAAAACAUUCGGUGGCUGCUGAAAAAGGCCUACUACACCCAGACACGAGGAGAUGUCUCAUUAAUUAUUUGCUUUCAUCCCCUUUGGGCUCAAAAGACAGCAGCAAUAACAUUACUUUUGUUUGCAGCUAUGUGUUCUUCUUUGACUGAGUGCCUCAAAGACAGCAGCGGAAAUAAGGACUGCUAAGAACACAGUGAUCCUUCCUACAUUACUGAGCCAUUCAGGAUUACAGCUGUUAAACGCAAGCACAAGCAGGAUGAUCCUACUGGUAAUCUGUCUUGGAUUUUUUGGAACAUAAUGUA
ensembl:lncRNA